CAGAGGAGAGUAGAGUGACUUAAGAGUAUUUCACGGUUCAGACUGUAAAGAUUUACACAGUUUUUUAUGGGUUAAAGAGGCUCCUGUUUAAGCAGCUUUUUGCCGAGGAACAUUGUUAAAGUACAUGGAUGAAAGUGGCGUCCUACUUCAGCAGCUAGGCUGAAGAUAAUUUAGUCAGCAUUACUUGCAAUUAUGGCUAGACAAAACACUACAGUGUACUUCCUCUGAGAUUUGUUUCUGCAGAUAAGGUUCUGACUGAAGUAGUUUCGGUUCAGGAUCAGACAUUGAACGUUUUUACUUCGAAUAGUGACUUUUGACUAAUUUUUGCAUUCUUCCAGUGUAUCUAAAAAGCAUUUUUUUAAAGAAGCUGCUCCUCAGUAAAUUGUUUAAGUUUAUAAAUGUGUAUUUUUACGACUUCAAGGGCAGAUUUUUUUGAAAGUCAUCUGCUGAUCAAGACUAUGUGCUCAUACAAAGUCUGUCUGUUCCCGUGUUCUUCCUGUUUGUGUUUGGCUUUGUUUCCCCCUUUCUUUAAAGGGGUGUGUCUGCCCUCAGUAAUCCUACACCAUUAACACAUUGAGGUUACUGUAACUGGCUAAACAGCCUCGACCAGUGAGUGCAGGGACUCUUAGUCGUACUCACACCCACAUGCCAUGUGUUGGCUGUCUGAGUCAAGGAGAUGCAUGCCUUUCCGUUGUGCUUCACUACUACGCAAGAAGGAAAAGAUGAAAAACGGAGAAGAAAAACAGGUGUGUGCGGGACAGGAGUAAUGUCAUAGCAAAAUGAAAAGUCUACUGGGCAAGUUGGAAAAACCCCUCAAGAGACACAGAGGAGAAAAAAUGUAGACAGCGAGAGGGAGAGGGCAUAAUAGAACCACCCAAACUUCCCAAACCACCCAAUCAAGCUGCGUUCUUGGAAUUGGAUCCCUCCCUUGCUCACCACCUGAGAGCAGAGAAACAGAGCAGUGCCUCAGAGGCUCAGAGGAGCAAGAAACACACACAGAGGAAGAAACAAAGCACAGGUGACAACGAAAACAGGGCACACAUGGAGAAGACAGCCGAAGUUUUAUAGAAAACAAAGAGUGCCUCUCAAAAAAGAAGAAGAUACAGAGAUUUUUGUUUUACAUUCGAAUGAGAGAGAGGGUGAGAAAGAGACUCUGGAGACAAGAACCUGAACUCUCAGGAGUGCUGCGGAUCUGUAACAACAAAGCAAUGAGCUGACAUUCUCUGCUUUGAAUGAACACAACAUAGAGGAAAGAGACCCCCGUGAGAAGAAACUGGAAACCAAAAUGCGGACAAAAAGGAGAUGAAGAAGAAAAUAACAGGGAUUUAAAGACUGGCUGAACAGCCCUUUUGAAUCUUGCGCUUUUUUUUUUUUUUUUGUGAAUUAUCUUUUUAAUUUUUUGUCUAGCUGAGUCUACAGUCAGAAUCAUCAUGUAGUGUCUCUUUGCUCGCUCUGAGUAGGGCCAGGUUUGGACAUCAAAAUACCAAGUGUGUGUUGAGUCCAGUAGUUGAGACAUGUCUCUGGAAGACGUAAGAAGCUUCACCAGCGUCGGUGCUGAAAGUGCUGCUUCAGACCACUGCAACGGCCACUCUCUGAGCAAAGUGGAGGAACAGAAUCUCCAAAGCCAAGGCCAGGAUGGGAUCGUCCUGGAGCGUAUUGCUUCUCUGUCAAUGGACAUGUUUGACCCCAGUGACUUCACUGGGAGGUUCACUAAGAUCCAGUCUAGAUCCAGAAAAAGGACAAACAUCAUCAGAGGUAGGUGCAGAAAGCUUGGGAAGUUUUGGUUCUAAUUGGUCAUAUUAAGGGGAAUAUUAGAGGAAACAGUUCAGGUCAGUUUGAAGAUAUAUUGUGAAUUUACACGACCUGAGGGUUUCCUGAAACUGGAAAUGAGAGAUUAGUUAAACAUCCUGCUAAAAUGAUGAUCCUGCUUUCCCCAGUUGGACUAUAAUGGGCUGUUUUUUAAGCAAUCUGAGCUCUUUUAAUAUUUUUGGAUUUCCCCCUACCUGGUUAGACCGCGACUGCCUUUCCCUGUAAACUGAACAAAGUUCUCUCUGCUGUCAGUUGAGGACUAGGCUUGACAAGAGUCUUUGUUGUGGCUUUAGUAGACCCGGUGAAAAGUGAUACCUCCUGUGUUUUUGACAAAAGAAACUCCACUAAUCCAAGCAGUGGGGGGGAAAAUUUAGCCUCAGUUUAUCAAAAAAACUUAACCUCAGCUCAUCCUAACUUCCGGGUAUUAUCACAAAACGUCUAAAUCAAACCAUGCACAACUCCAGGGUUUUAGUAAGUAGCCAGUGUUGAUACAGUUUUAGUUCUUUAACUCAAAACUCUUGACAGUCCCGUUAUCGUUGGAAGCAUGGUCUAACUUGUACCCACCAAGUUGCAGACUAACAUAUUAAUCAGAGAAGUUUUCCCUCUGUCCUUCUCUUAAACUUUCGUCAUUGUCAUCACUUUAUCUGUCAGUUUCUCAAUGAGAAAUAGAUAUUGUGUUUCUAUCUGUAGUUUCAGAUUAAACACAAGGAUACAAUCCUAAAAAACUCAUUAAACUGGUUCGUUACAGCUUUCUUUACGAUAGAACGUGUUUGUGAGGAAAGGCCAGAAGAUUUAUAGUGCAAGAUAUAGCUGUUAGGGGAAGCAGAGGGGUCCUGACUAUCAUCUUUUAUGUGACUUUACAUUUUUCUGUGGGAUUUGGCUGAACUCACAGACAAGAGAGACAAGUAGGCGUACACAUAUAACUGGAGUGAGGUAGGGCCUGCGUUACCAAGUACCACUUGCACAAACACGUCUUUCAAAAGAAAUUAACAGACGCAAAGGUUGAAUUCUGACACAGUUUACUGCAAAAUUAAGUAUUACGGGACCUCUCUGCUGUCAUAAUGUACAGGAGUGAAGCUUUGAUGUUGCAGAGACAGGUAUGCCCGGUAUGAAAACUGCUGACACACGUGCACAUUCUUCACUAAAGUUAUCUAUUUGAUCAACCCAGCUGUGUCAAGGAGACACCACAGUGUGAGCCGUGAGCCUCAAACAGUCCCCUCUGUGUCUGUGUAGUGUUUGUGUCUUCUGUGUUAUGGUGAGAAGUUCACACCCACAACAAUGAACAUGGGCACAUGUUUAGUGCACCGACAUUGACCAGAGCCGCCAACAGCUGCUCUCUUGAUCAUUUACCAGGUUACUUCAAACAAGUCUGUUGGCAACCAUUGUCAUCAUGAUGAUUGAUUGAUUGAUUGAUUCAUAUGUAAGUUUACAUCGUAUACCCUUUAUUUUCCUUUGUUUUGAUGAGGAUUUUUGGCUAACUUAUUAGCUUUCCCAAUAUCCUUUAAGUAUCAAAAAGAAUAUACUUCAAUCACUAUACUUGAAUUGUACUUAGAUUCAAAAGCAGAUAACCUUCUCCCAUUUAUCAUUGGAAACAGUCUACUGUGAAGAAUGAAUCAUGGCCAAGGCUGUAGUUAGUUCACUACUUAAUCAAGGUUUCAUUUCAUACCCAUAGGUCCUUAGAAAAAAGGAAAUAUGUGAGUGAGGUUCGAAAUUAAUAUAUUCAUAUGUUAUGUCAUGUUAUUUAUUACCUUUAGGCACAUCAAUAUUAAACCACAUCUGCAAUAAUUGUGGAAAUAAUAACCCAACUGAGGUGUUAAAUGGCUUAUUUCACUCUAAAAAACUCCCAGAAAGCUCAGUCGACUAGUUAUCAGCAGAGGUUUGUGGCUGGGAUUUGAAAUAGUGAUGAUGACUGUGGCCUCUGUUAAUGACUUUAACCAAUGAGCUAAACUUACUAACAGCUUAACUGUUAUAAAUAUGAGGAUUUGCUGUUUUUGCCAUGAAGAAGAUAAACAAUUUUGUGGUUUUAAAUUUGCAAAAUUGACAGCUUUAAAUUUGGAAAUCUGUGAUAAGCAUUUCCCUCAAUUUUUUACACAACUUUUUUUAAAGUUAGUAAUUAAUAAUGAAGUAAUUAAUUGUUAGAUUUGCCAAUCAGAAGAAAAACUCAGCCAUGGUCAGAUUGCCUCUUUUUUGAGUACCUUACCUUGGUUUAGUUCUGACACUAUUGAUUUCAGGCAGCUAAUGGGAAUAAUUUACUGUAUACUCUUCAAUAGAAGAGGGCGACCUCGAUGCCAAUGUACAGAGAUCUUUCCAGUUAUUUCUUCUUAAUUCUGAUCGGCUUUUUGAUUGGUUAGGAUGAAUAUCAUAUUUUGCAGAUUAUGGCUGAUGCAUUUUACCAUGUGUGUUUGAAAUGAGCGCGUGUACAGCUGUGUUUUUGUGUGUGUGUGCGUGUGUGUGUGUGUGUGUGUGUGUGUGUGUGUGUGUGUGGAGGAGUCACAUUCCAACAGCUGAGGCCCAGCAGAAUGUGAGGAAUCCUGGGAGCUCCACAAGGGUGUGUGUGUGUGUGUGUGUGUGUGUGUGUUUAUCUGUGAUAUUUGUAGGCUGAAUAAAUGUGGGUCCCUUGAUGUAAGAAAAAAGUCCCUUUUCUCAUCGUAGGUCAUGCAUUUGAAUACAUUUCCAUAAGCUGGACAAGAGUUUCGCAUGACACAGCAAACACUAGCCCUCAGGAAAACAUCUCAUUUACAGCUGCACCAUAAGUUAAGAACUUGGGCCACGAAAAGUAAAACUUCAUUUGUUCUUUUUUUCCCUUGUGAAAGAGGAAUAAUCAACUCAAAGAACUGAGUGGGGCUAGAUGCCAAAAAUCAGACCUCACUUAAAUAUCUUAAAUAACCUUUUAAGCAAGUUGAAAACCACUGUACACUGGAUGUUUUGGCAGUCCCAGGAGAUCAUUUGGAAAACCAACUUGACCACAGAGGCUGAAAAUGCUAUUUGUUGGUGCUACUUUAUCCAUGACUGUAAUGAGAUAAGCAGAAGUUGUGGACAAGAAUAGGCCCCUUCUAUAUUUCUCCUCCUUUGAGAUUAGACAGUAAUUGUCUGUUAAUAUGAACCAGGCCAUCCUGUGCUCAUCAGCUCUCCUCUGAGCUGCAGCUUUUGCAUGAUACUGUAUUUUAUGCACCUUCUGCUCCUCCCUUCCUCUCUCUCUCUUUCUCUCUCAGUAUCAGCUCCCCCUCCCUCACCCAUUUGCAUGUCCUGUGGCACUUCCGCAGUUCAUCCAGGGAAUUACAGGAUGACCCUAAUUAUCCACUUGUACUUCCACUCGAAAUCAUUGAACCAAUGCAUCAUUGCCGUGAUGGCCAUCAUACCUCUCUGCUCGGACAGCCCAGGGGAAAAUGUGAAGGUUUAAGGUAGAUGGAAAGAAGUUAUUUCCUCCCAUCACUGUUUGAGUGAUUGGUUGAGACUUAAACUGCAGCAGCAGGGUUCAAGGUUAAAUUCAGCCGUUAGUAAAGAGCUUUGUUUAGUUACUGAAGCUCUAAUGUAAGUCAUAUAUAAGCCAGUGAGAUGAUAAGAUUUUUUUUUUGCUCAAAUCUCUAAACAAUAAUAAAAGAUAUAUAUUUACGUGUGCAAAAUCAGCUGUCUUAAUUUACGCCAUGUCUGUUUCUAUUCUUUGACAUUACACAGCUGAGAACAGGAGAUGGCUUGCUUGAAAAACAAAGCAUUUAUACCCUUACUGUAGUUCACUGACAUGCAUGUGGCACUUGCCUGUAUAAGGUAAUAGGGCUGGGGCAAUAUGCUUUUCUCCUGAUUCGAUUCUUCUAUGAUUUUUUUGGAUGCCAAUUCUACAAUAUUGUCAAUUUUCUUGAUCUUUAGUCUGCAUUUAUAACACCAGUGAAACAGUUGAAUGAUUAUGAUUGUCUACUAACUUAUUAGUUACUAACCAUAUUUACCUAGAAAAUACACAUCACCUGUAGGUCAGUUUUUCAGAUUUAUUCUUAAAUUAAAAAAAAACAAAAACAAUUUUUGAACAUAAAAAUCGAUUUAAAAAUUGCAAAACAAAAAAUUACGAUACUUGUAUGAAUCGAUUUUUUUUCUCCCACCCCUAUAAAGUAAUGACAGUUCCAAAGCUAUAUGAGCAAAAGCAGCUGGUGUCACAUGUACAUAACAUCACCUGAAAAGAAUACAAAGUAUCGGUGUUACUGCCUACUACGCAGGUAACCAAAGUCUAUCCAUUGUUAAAGAAAUUACUGUAAUUGAUGCAAUCAAGUUCAUUUACCCGUUUGGCCUGUUCGUGUGGUUUAUAAGUAAUGUAUUUAUUUUUUCCUCACUCAAGUGUUACUAUCCAUGUGAAUCUGUAAUUGGUGCUGUGUCAGUUUUUGAGACUUAUAAACUGUUAUCAUAGUCUAGUAUGGUGUCCAUUGCAUCUUGUCUGUUCAUAGAAAGGCCAUUCAUCCUUCAACAUUUUUGACUUUUUUCCAGACAUCAGCACGACAAAGCUUGAGCUCACACACCCAUCCAUUGACUGCUCCCUGUGCAAUUAAUGCUUAAUAGCGUCUAAGCAUUACAUUUCAGACAUUAAUCAUAGUAAUUUAGUCUCAUUGAUGACAAGCUUAGAGCUACACAAUAGUGAUCAUUUCAGCUAUAAACAAUGGCAAAUUGCAUGGAGGGAUUAUGAGCUCAAAAUAAUGUACAAGCAUUUUAAAGGCCCUUUGGUCAAGGGAUAGAUGACGUUUUAAAGAACUGAAAGAAACAUUUGUCCUCGGUUUGCAUGACAUUAUAUCAUCAAACAACUCAUGGCCAGUUUGAAUAAUGGAGUUUUGAAACAAUCUGCAUCAGCCAAUUCUCGUGCUCCUGAGGCUAAUUACAAAACGCAGACAGAUAAUGUCUGCAGACAGCCUCGUCAGUAUGGCUGCUGUCUACCAGUAGUAACAUCCCUUUAAAUUAUAAAUUUGAAGCAUUGGCCAUUUAAAAACAUUCAGCCAACCACUUAAAUUUAAUGUUGUAGAUUAACCACAGAAAGCUUUUGUUUUUAAUGCAGUAUCCUUGAUUGAUUCAUUUCAGCAUUUUCCUGUAUCAUACUUUCUUCCUGUAAAUAAAAGCACAGGACUGUUAUUUUUUAUUAGACUCCACAGAAGAAUUGCAGCACCUUGUUUCAGUCCUGAGCAAUAUCUGCAGGCCAACACUGACUCUGAGCAAUGUCUGCAAGCCGUACUAACAAACUGCGUGCAGUCUGGAUAAUCCUCGUCAAGAAGUAAAGAGACUAUAUUUUUCUGUUGUGGCAAAAGCCGAGCUCAGAAAAAGAAAAGUCACUCAAUAGUGCUGGUAAAACAUUCUUGCUGUGAUUUAUUAUGGUCGUAGCUGAGAUCUAUUGAGAUGAGAAUUUUUAGAUUUGUAUUCAGUACACACUGAAUAUACACUAACUAAUGUGUGCUGUGUUGUAGAUAAUGUCAUUUAGAACAUAAUUUUUAUUGUGCAUUGCAUGGCUGAACAACUACUACUCAAACAACACUCAUCCUGAAAUCGUAAACAUGUCACACACACACACACACACACACAUUGCAUCUCUGUGUGAAAACAGGAGCAGUAAGGACGCUGACAUGCAUUGCCAUUGACCAGUUGUUAUUCUCAGCAAUUCAUUAGCGCUGACUGCCUAUCAAUGCAUCUCUUUGCUUUCAUUGGCUGAGGCGGGCUUACAACAUGCUCACUCAGCACUUAUUGUGAGACAGAACAACAACGUUACUGCCUUUUGUCUCUGUUGUCUUCAUUUCACCAAUCAUCCUCCCUCCACUGUCUAUUCAUUCACCAAAUC